UACAGAGGUGGCAAGCGUUGUUCGGAAUUACUGGGCGUAAAGGGCGCGUAGGCGGUCCCGUCAGUCCUUUGUGAAAUCCCCCGGCUCAACCGGGGAACUGCACAGGAUACUGCGGGGCUUGAGUUCGGGAGAGGGAAGCGGAAUUCCGGGUGUAGCGGUGAAAUGCGUAGAUAUCCGGAGGAACACCGGUGGCGAAGGCGGGUCUCUGGGCCGUAACUGACGCUGAGGAGCGAAAGCGUGGGGAGCGAACAGG
rnacentral:rRNA from 1 species